GUCUACGGCCAUACCACCCUGAAAGCGCCCGAUCUCGUCUGAUCUCGGAAGCUAAGCAGGGUCAGGCCUGGUUAGUUCUUGGAUGGGAGUUUAUGGUGAAUAAUAUGAUGGUCU
rnacentral:rRNA from 1 species